rnacentral:rRNA from 1 species
CCAGGUGUAGCGGUGAAAUGCGUAGAUAUCUGGAGGAAUACCGAUGGCGAAAGCGGGUUUCUGGUCUAUUACUGACACUGAGCUGUGAAGGCGCGGGGAGCAAACAGGAUUAGAUACCCUGGUAGUCCGCGCGGUAAACGAUGUUCACUUGGUAUGGGAGGUAUCGACCCCUUCUGUGCCGGAGCUAACGCAUUAAGUGAACCACCUGGGGAGUACGGCCGCAAGGUUGAAACUCAAAAGAAUUGACGGGGGCCCGCACAAGUGGUGGAGCAUGUGGUUUAAUUCGACGCAACGCGAAGAACCUUACCCGGGCUUGAAGUUCUGGUUGUAUCCCGACGAAAGAUUGGGAGACUCGCAAGAGAGCCAGAAGAGGUGCUGCAUGGUUGUCGUCAGCUCGUGCCGUGAGGUGUAUGGUUAAGUCCCAUAACGAGCGCAACCCUUGUCCUAUGUUGCUAACUUCGCAAGAAGAGCACUCUUAGGAGACUGCCCAGGUUAACUGGGACGGAAGUGGGGAUGACGUCAAAUCAUCAUGGCCUUUAUGUCCGGGGCUACACACGUGCUACAAUGGCUGCUACAGAGGGAUGCCAAACCGUAAGGUGGAGCAAAUCCUUUAAAGGCAGCCUCAGUUCAGAUUGAGGACUGCAACUCGUCCUCAUGAAGUCGGAAUCACUAGUAAUCGCUGAUCAGCAGGCAGCGGUGAAUACGUUCCCGGGCCUUGUACACACCGCCCGUCACACCAUGAAAGCUAGUUGCAACAGAUGUCCCGCCUCGCGCGGGAUGAAGUUGUGAUUAGUGACUGGGGUGAAGUCGUAAUCAAGGUAACCGUA